rnacentral:rRNA from 1 species
AUUGAACGCUGGCGGCAUGCCUUACACAUGCAAGUCGAACGGUAACAGGGAGCUUGCUCCGCUGACGAGUGGCGAACGGGUGAGUAAUGUAUCGGAACGUACCAUUCAGUGGGGGAUAACGUAGCGAAAGUUACGCUAAUACCGCAUAUUCUGUGAGCAGGAAAGCAGGGGAUCGCAAGACCUUGCGCUGAUUGAGCGGCCGAUAUCAGAUUAGCUAGUUGGUGAGGUAAAGGCUCACCAAGGCGACGAUCUGUAGCGGGUCUGAGAGGAUGAUCCGCCACACUGGAACUGAGACACGGUCCAGACUCCUACGGGAGGCAGCAGUGGGGAAUUUUGGACAAUGGGGGCAACCCUGAUCCAGCCAUGCCGCGUGAGUGAAGAAGGCCUUCGGGUUGUAAAGCUCUUCGGUCCGGGAAAAAUACGCAUCAGUUAAUACCUAGGUGUGGAUGAUGGUACCGGAAUAAGAAGCACCGGCUAACUACGUGCC